rnacentral:rRNA from 1 species
UACGGAGGGGGUUAGCGUUGUUCGGAAUGACUGGGCGUAAAGCGCGCGUAGGCGGGCUGGAAAGUUGGGGGUGAAAUCCCGGGGCUCAACCCCGGAAUGGCCUUCAAAACUCCCAGCCUAGAGUUCGAGAGAGGUGAGUGGAAUUCCGAGUGUAGAGGUGAGAUUCGUAGAUAUUCGGAGGAACACCAGUGGCGAAGGCGGCUCACUGGCUCGACACUGACGCUGAGGUGCGAAAGCGUGGGGAGCAAACAGG